UACGUAGGGGGCAAGCGUUGUUCGGAAUUACUGGGCGUAAAGGGCGCGUAGGCGGCACAGCAAGUCGGGAGUGAAAGCCCGGGGCUCAACCCCGGAACUGCUUUCGAAACUGCUGAGCUAGAGUACAGAAGGGGCAACCGGAAUUCCCAGUGUAGCGGUGAAAUGCGUAGAUAUUGGGAAGAACACCUGAGGCGAAGGCGGGUUGCUGGGCUGAUACUGACGCUGAGGCGCGAAAGCCAGGGGAGCAAAUGGG
rnacentral:rRNA from 1 species